rnacentral:rRNA from 1 species
UACGGAGGGUGCAAGCGUUGCUCGGAAUUAUUGGGCGUAAAGGGUAGGUAGGUGGUCUCGUUUGUCUGGGGUGAAAGCCUUGAGCUUAACUCAAGAAGUGCCCCAGAAACGGCGAGACUCGAGUACUGGAGAGGCAAGUGGAAUUCCUGGUGUAGCGGUGAAAUGCGCAGAUAUCAGGAGGAACACCGGUGGCGAAGGCGGAUCUCUGGGCCGAUACUGACGCUGAGGAGCGAAAGCGUGGGGAGCGAACAGG